rnacentral:rRNA from 1 species
UACGUAGUGGGCUAGCGUUAUCCUGAAUUACUGGGCGUAAAGGGUGCGUAGGUGGUUUCUUAAGUCAGAGGUGAAAGGCUACGGCUCAACCGUAGUAAGCCUUUGAAACUGGGAAACUUGAGUGCAGGAUAGGAGAGUGGAAUUCCUAGUGUAGCGGUGAAAUGCGUAGAUAUUAGGAGGAACACCAGUUGCGAAGGCGGCUCUCUGGACUGUAACUGACACUGAGGCACGAAAGCGUGGGGAGCAAACAGGAUUAGAUACCCUGGUAGUCCCU